rnacentral:misc_RNA from 1 species
CUUUUUAAUCUUAAAAUUUAAUACACUAUCACUUGAAAGCGCUAAAAGAUUAACUUUCGCAGUGCAGUUUGCUAGGGAUUGAAACUGGUCAGCUUUUGAGCUUUUCUUUUUUAAUUUUUUUUGAGUAACAAAGUAUACAGUGUAUCUGAAAUUUCAUCGAAGAUCCUGCCAAUCUUCCAAUUCUGCCCAGAAAUUAUGCCAUUUCGUUGCGCAAAACCAAGCACAUUACUCCCACUUGAAGCAGAAGUAGGAUUUGAGCAAUGAUGAAGAUUCUCCCCAUUUUUGUCCCCCAGUUGAAGCACGUACAUAUUAUGAACACCUUCAAUCAAAAUACCUCUCAACUGUAUGCUCGUUUCUAUCAAACAUUUCUAUUACUUGGCAUGAUCAUUAAUCAACUCUCCAUUCGAAUUACUACACUGUGGUCAGAAACUUCAUUCCAAGUUGGCUCAAUAUCAACUUGAAAUGAUUUCCCUUUUUCCCUUUCCCUUCUUGCAGCUGUAUUGUAGAAAUUAAUACGGUCUGCAAAGGGUGACAUAUUAACAAUUAACAGCUCAAAACUGAAUGCUUUUGCUGCCAUUAAUUAACCUCAACUUGCUGCAUAAAUCUCAUCCAAAAAAAAUUACUACACAAACAUUGCAUAACAGGUUAUAAAUUCGUAAGAAUCUAAUGAACAAGUAAACAAACAAAAUUAAAAAAUUCCUUUACCUCAGUAAUCAUGGCCGAAUGACAAACAAUGCACUCCAGAGUUUCAGGUUCUUCAUAAAUCAGUAAUAUCUUGGUCAGCAUGGAAGGUGUUGGUUCAUGUAUCUAACUCCUUGCUAAUGUUUCAAGGAUAAAGAAAAAAUCACAGCAAUAUUUACUAUUUCUUUUUCUUCCUUUUCAUUUCUUCCGACUCUUCUUGAGCUUACUUAUGAUCUUAUCCUGUGCAGAGAUUUGAAAAUCUUUCGCACUUAUAUCUUGCUUCAGUCAUUCAAUCUCUUUCAAGUGGUUAUUGCCCCUGAUUUAAAUCCUUUUCUCUCAACUCUUGUUUUAAUCUUUCAAUCUCUUCUUGAAAAACUUUCUUUUUAAGUGAACCUCGACGAAGAGAAUAAUCAUGUGCCAUUUCACGAAUAAACCAUUAAAUGCAGCCAACUAUAAUCAUGGUACAAAUGCAAUGGCUACUUCAAAAAAAUGUUCAUACAAUCAAUUCUAUACUUGUUAAAGGUGUGCUUAAGGUGCUGACCUAGUGCAUGUACUAGCAAAAGGCAGGCGAACUCUAACAGGUGCACCUUCUUCCAGGCAAAAGGCAUUAGAAGGUGCACCUUCUAUCUAGGCAAAAGCCCCAAGAAACACGCAGCUUCCUAAUUUCCAUCUUCUGUGAGCACCUUCAUCAGAAAAAGACACCACUACAAGACUUUGAUCUGGCUAAACUACCAGAAUCUGGUGUCCUAGAACACCGACUCUGGCACUGGAAAAUUGCUCAAAUAUUGUUGGACUCCAGUAGAAACCACUGACUUCCGAAGUUCUACUUUUAGCAUAAACACAGCUUAAAUCCAUCUCAUCAUAGCUUGUUUACAGUCCUAUUGUUCUCUCUCUCCACUUCCCUUGGCAGCUCUGCUUCUCUGUUACUGGGUUACCUAUGUUCUUUUCUCUUUCUUUCUAAUAACAAUAUCAAAAGCACAGUUUGGGUUUGUUUUACUCUCUAACAAGCUCUCAAAGGGGAAUAAUAUUAAUGGUGAAGUCCAUAUUCAUUUUGUCUGUCAUCCAAGUCAUUAGAUGGUUAACUUUGGCUUGAUCCUUUGAAUAUUGUUAACUUUGGUCAAUUUUGUUAAUUAGAUAUAAUAUAUUUUCUUUGUAUAAAUAUCCAUCCUUUUUUUUGGGUGCCUGACCUCCCUUAGAUAUGUGGCUAAACUUGGCAACACUUUGCACCUUGCCUAGUUGUACCUAGGUUCCCGAACCCCUUUGUGCCUUAGUGUGCCUUUAAUAACUUUGAUAGACAUUAAAAUAGAAACUUUAAUCAAUAUAUAGACAAAAUGGCUACUAGACUGUAAACCUUCAAACAAGUACUCAUCUCUAAGUUUCACUUACCCAUGAAGGAAAAAUUGUAGGAAACCAACUUAAUAGGCAAAAUGAGGUUGGCUUGAGCUUAAACUAAAGGAAUUCCUUUUCCUGUGUCAUAAUAAUCACUAAAAGUAGGAAAAAAAAUUUUGGAAAAUGUUAGGCAUGCUCAGCUAGCAAAUUGUUUCAAUACUGCUCAGCUAGCAAAUUGUUUCAAUACUACCUUGAAGAGGUAAAAACACCCAUUCGGAAGGUAAGAUAAUUUAUCACAGGAAAAACCUUACAAAUCAUAGGGAACCAAAAGAAUAUAAACUUUAAAGGUUCUAUUACUCGUAUCUUUAUUUUAAACAGAAAACAAGGAACUUGUGACCCAAAAAUUUCUAAUUACUAAUAGGAAGCAUGUACAAAUCUCCACAUAGAGUACAUUGCAACAAAAAUAAAGAGAUAAAUUUGCACAAA